rnacentral:tRNA from 1 species
GCGCUCGUGGCGAAAAUGGUAGACGCGCCUGUCUCAGGAACAGGUCCCUUGCAAGUUCGAGUCUUGCCGAGCGCACCA